GUGGGGAAUAUUGGACAAUGGGCGCAAGCCUGAUCCAGCCAUGCCGCGUGAGUGAUGAAGGCCUUAGGGUUGUAAAGCUCUUUUGUCCGGGAAGAUAAUGACUGUACCGGAAGAAUAAGCCCCGGCUAACUUCGUGCCAGCAGCCGCGGUAAUACGAAGGGGGCUAGCGUUGUUCGGAAUCACUGGGCGUAAAGCGCACGUAGGCGGACCAUUAAGUCAGGGGUGAAAGCCUGGAGCUCAACUCCAGAACUGCCUUUGAUACUGAUGGUCUCGAGUAUGGAAGAGGUUGGUGGAACUGCGAGUGUAGAGGUGAAAUUCGUAGAUAUUCGCAAGAACACCGGUGGCGAAGGCGGCCAACUGGUCCAUUACUGACGCUGAGGUGUGAAAGCGUGGGGAGCAAACAGGAUUAGAUACCCGAGUAGUCC
rnacentral:rRNA from 1 species